UUGAAGCAUAGACAGCGCACAAUAAUACCGUGUUACAUUCAUUGGUACUGUGCGCAGCAAAAUUGCGUUUCGCUUCGCUGUCACUGUCUAAUAACUAAUCGACAUCUCUUAGAAUUGAGACUUUUUAAAACGGAAAAUAGGCUACAAUAUGUAAGCCCAACUUAACGUCUUAACAGAUAAUGCGUUAUCUUCGCUAAAGUUCAAUAUCCAUAUUAUCCAUGACAACCCUUUUAAAAUAAACAUCCAGAGCAGUGCUCCUUUUUGCCAAAAGCAAAUAAAUGUGAUCUAUGGGAAGUGGAGGGCACCUGGCGUAGUCGUAUGUCUUUUUAAAGACAGCAACUUCAAACAGGACAUAACUAACUUUCAACGUACAGUAGUGCCAAGGUUGCAUGGCAUUGACCCCGUCCCUUCCGGAGAUGCUCCCACCCCCCACUCCUCUUUGCAAACACACCAGGCGCUAGUGAAGGGC